rnacentral:rRNA from 1 species
UGCGUAGGCGGCGCCGUAAGUCGGAUGUGAAAUCUCGGGGCUCAACCCCGAAACUGCAUUCGAUACUGCGGUGCUAGAGGACUCUAGAGGAAACUGGAAUUCACGGUGUAGCAGUGAAAUGCGUAGAUAUCGUGAGGAAGACCAGUGGCGAAGGCGGGUUUCUGGAGAGUUCCUGACGCUGAGGCACGAAGGCCAGGGAGCAAACG